rnacentral:rRNA from 1 species
UGGCGGCGUGCCUAAUACAUGCAAGUCGAACGCACUCUCGUUUAGAUUGAGAGCUUGCUCCUGAUUGAUAAACAUUUGAGUGAGUGGCGACGGGUGAGUAACACGUGGGUAACCUGCCCUAAAGUGGGGAUAACAUUUGGAAACAGAUGCUAAUACCGCAUGAAACCUAACACCGCAUGGUGUAGGGUUGAAAGAUGGUUUCGGCUAUCACUUUAGGAUGGACCCGCGGUGCAUUAGUUAGUUGGUGAGGUAAAGGCUCACCAAGACCGUGAUGCAUAGCCGACCUGAGAGGGUAAUCGGCCACACUGGGACUGAGACACGGCCCAGACUCCUACGGGAGGCAGCAGUAGGGAAUCUUCCACAAUGGACGAAAGUCUGAUGGAGCAACGCCGCGUGAGUGAAGAAGGUUUUCGGAUCGUAAACUCUGUUGUUGGAGAAGAAUGUAUCUGAUAGUAACUGAUCAGGUAGUGACGGUAUCCAACCAGAAAGCCACGGCUAACUACGUG